AUUGAACGCUGGCGGCAUGCCUUACACAUGCAAGUCGAACGGUAACAGGUCUUCGGAUGCUGACGAGUGGCGAACGGGUGAGUAAUACAUCGGAACGUGCCUAGUAGUGGGGGAUAACUACUCGAAAGAGUGGCUAGUACCGCAUGAGAUCUACGGAUGAAAGCAGGGGAUCGCAAGACCUUGUGCUACUAGAGCGGCCGAUGGCAGAUUAGGUAGUUGGUGGGGGAAAAGCUUACCAAGCCGACGAUCUGUAGCUGGUCUGAGAGGACGAUCAGCCACACUGGGAGUGAGACACGGCCCAGACUCCUACGGGAGGCAGCAGUGGGGAAUUUUGGACAAUGGGCGCAAGCCUGAUCCAGCAAUGCCGAGUGCAGGAUGAAGGCCUUCGGGUUGUAAACUGCUUUUGUACGGAACGAAAAGCCCUGGGUUAAUACCCUGGGGUCAUGACGGUACCGUAAGAAUAAGCACCGGCUAACUACGUGCCAGCAGCCGCCGUAA
rnacentral:rRNA from 1 species